CACAGAGUCAGACUCCCCCAGCCUGGUGCCUGUGCUCUCUUGACUUGCUGCCCUCCCAGUUGCUCCUUCCUGAAAUGACCUCUUCUAGCCUUUCCACGUCAUCUUUGCUGGCUGGUUCUCCCAGGUGUCCCAGAAAGCAGCAAGUCACUGACAGUGCUUCUCCAACUGGGCUACAGGGGUCCCUGGGAUCUUGAAGGGAUAUCAGCAUUGUGCCAAAGGCUAAAUAAGAACUGUCUCCUCAUCAGCAGAAAAAAAUCUUCUUCUUCUGUCUUAACCAAACCCAGCCUGUCUAUGAUGAGCCUGGCUUCCUGCUUCCUGCAACUGUGACCUGAAAUGCUCCCCAGAAUUUACCUGUCUUGUGUCUCAUCCCCUCUGGGCUCUACUUUGUGACUUUCAAGGUGACAAUCAGUUAAUCCAAUAACAGAAUCCUGCUAACGUGCUAACGGGAGAGGGUGAAAAAAAGGCUCCCAGCUCCCUCCCUUCUGACUCAGAGACAAGUCACAGAACCCAGUCCUCACUCACUGGAAGAGGAGAGAUGACACAUGAAUACCAGGGGAGAGGAAUCAACGGGGCCGUCAGAAGUGAGGCCGUCUACCACAGGGGGCUGUGAUUUUUAGGCGUGGAGGAAUUGCCAAAGACUACACAUGGAUGAGAAAUGAUUUGUCCAGAUGCAGCUGGGACAUUUGAGAUAUGCCUUGAUCCACCCUUGGCCAGGUGGACCGUUGUAAGCAGGACAUACAACAUUUGAGAAACAAUGGCAGCGCUGAGUCCUAAAGGAUCAUCAGGAGAUAAUUGCAUCUGGCCACCAGACUGAGGAGUUUCCAGAAGGGUGAAAAUGGCAGUGUGUGACCCAGCCAAGAUAAGUCACAUGGGUGGCAGAGCCAGAGUAUAGAUGCUCCUUGAUUUAUCAACUACUGGGGUGGAAAACAAGAGCAGAUCCCAACCUGUUAAACCUGGAGAAGAGAGAGCAAGAGAGAAACUUCUCAACUCUUAUUAGAAUGUUUUGCUUUCUGAAUGACAAGCCACUUUGGAAGGAAAAUUUUUAUUUGGAUUCCUUGUACCUGUGCAAUUGUACGUGGCAGCCUUGUUUUGGGGGGUGUAAUUUCGGUGUUGAUGGAGAAGAGGAACCCAUACUUCUUCCCAGAAGGAAUACAGUUGCUUAGAGUAUAUUCAUUUCAUUCAUUCAUUGAUCCGUAUAUUAGCUUACCCAUUCAUUCCAUAAAAAUUGC
rnacentral:lncRNA from 1 species